rnacentral:rRNA from 1 species
UCAGUCGACUCCUACGGGAGGCAGCAGUCGGGGAAUAUUGCACAAUGGGCGCAAGCCUGAUGCAGCAACGCCGUGUGAGUGAAGAAGGUUUUCGGAUCGUAAAACUCUGUCCUAAGGGAAGAAACAAAUGACGGUACCUUAGGAGGAAGCCCCGGCUAACUACGUGCCAGCAGCCGCGGUAAUACGUAGGGGGCAAGCGUUAUCCGGAAUCACUGGGCGUAAAGGGUGCGUAGGCGGCUUAGCAAGCCAGGGGUGAAAGGCAUUGGCUCAACCAAUGUAAGCCUUUGGAACUGUUAAGCUUGAGUGCAGGAGAGGUAAGUGGAAUUCCUAGUGUAGAGGUGAAAUUCGUAGAUAUUAGGAGGAACACCAGUGGCGAAGGCGACUUACUGGACUGUAACUGACGCUGAUGCACGAAAGCGUGGGUAGCGAACAGGAUUAGAUACCCCUGGUAG